rnacentral:rRNA from 1 species
ACUCAAAGGAAUUGACGGGGGCCCGCACAAGCAGCGGAGCGUGUGGUUUAAUUCGAGGCUACACGAAGAACCUUACCCGGGUUUGACAUGCAACUGGUAAGAGCCGGAAACGGGGAUGACCCUUCGGGGAGGUUGCACAGGUGCUGCAUGGUUGUCGUCAGCUCGUGCCGUGAGGUGUUCGGUUAAGUCCGCAAACGAGCGCAACCCUCGGCAGUAGUUACAGGUGUCUACUGCGACUGCCCGUGAGAAACGGGAGGAAGGCGAGGAUGACGUCAAAUCAGCAUGGCCUGUAUGUCCGGGGCUACACACACGCUACAAUGGCGCGUACAACGGGGAGCGAAGUCGUGAGGCGGAGCGGAUCCACAAAGCGCGUCGUAGUUCGGAUUGCAGGCUGCAACUCGCCUGCAUGAAGGUGGAGUUGCUAGUAACCGCGCGUCAGCGAUAGUGCGGUGAAUACGUUCCCGGGCCUUGUACACACCGCCCGU